rnacentral:misc_RNA from 1 species
UCUUUUCUUUUGAUAAGAGAGUUUUUAAAACCAGUGUUAUUUCUGUAGGUUUAAGAUAAGCUUAUGUAUUAAAUUUUUUAUUUUUGAUAUUAAAGAGCUUUGUUAAACUUAGACUUAAGUUUGGGUCAUUUUGGGGGUUUAGCUCAGUUGGCUAGAGCAUCGGCUUUGCAAGCCGAGGGUCAAGGGUUCGAGUCCCUUAACCUCCAUUGGGCUUGUGCCCUAAAUUAUGAUUAAGUAUGUUUUUAAAUAGCUUUGUUAAAGUAAUUAUUAGAAUGUGAAGCAGAAGAAGUUAGAAUUUCUGGGUUAAAGUUGAGAUCUGUUGAUAUUAAGAAAAAUGCCUAGAAGUGAAAGUAAACUUUUGAUAAAACCUGAAAUUGUUUCACUAAAGUACAAGGAUUAAAUAGAAUUAUAUUUUGCAGCAGCCUAUUUUAUAAACGAUCUACAUUUAUAACUAGUUUGUAGUUAGGAAAUAAUGUGGGUUGCUAAGUGCGAUGUUUAGGGAAGGAUAAAUAUUGUAGCGAGCCGCAACUCUUGUUAUCGUUGCCAGCAUCUAGUGGUUGGGAUUCGUAUAAGACCGUCAGUUAUAAAUCAGAGGAAGGUAAGAUUUGCAUUAAAUCAUCAUGACCCUUAUGUCCUGGUUUACAAGCUUGCCUCAAUAACCUAAAAACCAAGCAAAAUGCCAUAAAGCAGAUUUCAGUUUGGAUUUGCCCAGCACUCAACGGCAUGAAGUUGGAAUUAUUAGCAAUCUUAUAUGCCUUAAUAUGGAAAUUGAAUUUUUGUUGUU